rnacentral:rRNA from 1 species
UACGAAGGGGGCUAGCGUUGCUCGGAAUCACUGGGCGUAAAGGGUGCGUAGGCGGGUCUUUUAAGUCAGAUGUGAAAGCCCUGGGCUCAACCCAGGAAGUGCAUUUGAAACUGGCGAGCUUGAGUAUGGAAGAAGGUCGCGGAAUUCCCGGUGUAGAGGUGAAAUUCGUAGAUAUCGGGAGGAACACCAGUGGCGAAGGCGGCGACCUGGGCCAAUACUGACGCUGAGGUGCGAAAAGCGUGGGGGAGCAAACAGGAU